rnacentral:rRNA from 1 species
UACGUAGGGCGCAAGCGUUGUCCGGAAUUAUUGGGCGUAAAGAGCUCGUAGGCGGUUUGUCGCGUCUGCUGUGAAAUCCCGAGGCUCAACCUCGGGCUUGCAGUGGGUACGGGCAGACUAGAGUGUGGUAGGGGAGACUGGAAUUCCUGGUGUAGCGGUGAAAUGCGCAGAUAUCAGGAGGAACACCGAUGGCGAAGGCAGGUCUCUGGGCCACUACUGACGCUGAGAAGCGAAAGCAUGGGGAGCGAACAGG